GACGAACGCUGGCGGCGUGCUUAACACAUGCAAGUCGAACGGAAAGGCCCUGCUUUUGUGGGGUGCUCGAGUGGCGAACGGGUGAGUAACACGUGAGUAACCUGCCCUUGACUUUGGGAUAACUUCAGGAAACUGGGGCUAAUACCGGAUAGGAGCUCCUGCUGCAUGGUGGGGGUUGGAAAGUUUCGGCGGUUGGGGAUGGACUCGCGGCUUAUCAGCUUGUUGGUGGGGUAGUGGCUUACCAAGGCUUUGACGGGUAGCCGGCCUGAGAGGGUGACCGGCCACAUUGGGACUGAGAUACGGCCCAGACUCCGACGGGAGGCAGCAGUGGGGAAUAUUGCACAAUGGGCGGAAGCCUGAUGCAGCAACGCCGCGUGCGGGAUGACGGCCUUCGGGUUGUAAACCGCUUUCGCCUGGGACGAAGCGUGAGUGACGGUAAUGGGUAAAGAAGCACCGGCUAACUACGUG
rnacentral:rRNA from 1 species